rnacentral:rRNA from 1 species
UACAGAGGGUGCAAGCGUUGCUCGGAAUCAUUGGGCGUAAAGGGUAGGUAGGUGGUCUCAUUUGUCUGGGGUGAAAGCCCAGGGCUUAACCCUGGAAGUGCCCCGGAAACGGUGAGACUGGAGUACUGGAGAGGGUCGUGGAAUUCCCGGUGUAGCGGUGAAAUGCGUAGAGAUGGGGGAGAACACUCGUGGCGAAGGCGGCCAGCUAGACCAGUUCUGACACUGAGGCGCGACAGCGUGGGGAGCAAACAGG